rnacentral:rRNA from 1 species
UACAGAGGGUGCGAGCGUUAAUCGGAAUUACUGGGCGUAAAGCGUGCGUAGACGGUCAAGUAAGUCGGGUGUGAAAGCCCCGGGCUCAACCUGGGAAUUGCAUUCGAGACUGCGUGGCUAGGGUGCGGAAGAGGGAAGCGGAAUUUCCGGUGUAGCGGUGAAAUGCGUAGAUAUCGGAAGGAACACCAGUGGCGAAAGCGGCUCCUGGUCCGCACCGACGUCAGGCACGAAAGCGUGGGGAGCAAACAGGAUUGAG